UGCAGUCGAGGGGUAUAGGUUUUCGGACCUAGAGACCGGCGCACGGGUGCGUAACGCGUAUGCAAUCUACCUUUUACAGAGGGAUAGCCCAGAGAAAUUUGGAUUAAUACCUCAUAGUAUUAUUGAAUGGCAUCAUUUAAUAAUUAAAGUCACAACGGUAAAAGAUGAGCAUGCGUCCCAUUAGCUAGUUGGUAAGGUAACGGCUUACCAAGGCAACGAUGGGUAGGGGUCCUGAGAGGGAGAUCCCCCACACUGGUACUGAGACACGGACCAGACUCCUACGGGAGGCAGCAGUGAGGAAUAUUGGUCAAUGGGCGCAAGCCUGAACCAGCCAUGCCGCGUGCAGGAUGACGGUCCUAUGGAUUGUAAACUGCUUUUGUACAGGAAGAAACAGUUCUACGUGUAGAACCUUGACGGUACUGUAAGAAUAAGGAUCGGCUAACUCCGUGCCAGCAGCCGCGGUAAUACGGAGGAUCCAAGCGUUAUCCGGAAUCAUUGGGUUUAAAGGGUCCGUAGGCGGUUUUGUAAGUCAGUGGUGAAAGCCCAUCGCUCAACGGUGGAACGGCCAUUGAUACUGCAAGACUUGAAUUAUUGGGAAGCAACUAGAAUAUGUAGUGUAGCGGUGAAAUGCUUAGAGAUUACAUGGAAUACCAAUUGCGAAGGCAGGUUGCUACCAAUACAUUGACGCUGAUGGACGAAAGCGUGGGGAGCGAACAGGAUUAGAUACCCUGGUAGUCCACGCCGUAAACGAUGGAUACUAGCUGUUCGGACCAUUCUGAGUGGCUAAACGAA
rnacentral:rRNA from 1 species